CGCGUAGGCGGUGGGUUACGUCUGCCGUGAAAUCCCCGGGCUCAACCUGGGAAUGGCGGUGGAAACGGGCUGACUAGAGUAUGGGAGAGGGUGAUGGAAUUCCAGGUGUAGCGGUGAAAUGCGUAGAGAUCUGGAGGAACAUCAGUGGCGAAGGCGGUCACCUGGUCCAAUACUGACGCUGAGGCGCGAAAGCGUGGGGAGCAAACA
rnacentral:rRNA from 1 species